UGUUUGAAUUGUGGUUGGUGUUUAUUUAGUUUAGGCUUGUUUACUGAUGGUUGGUGUUUAUUUAGUUUAGGCUUGUUUACUGAUGGUUGGUGUUUAUUUAGUUUAGGCUUGUUUACUGAUGGUUGGUGUUUAUUUAGUUUAGGCUUGUUUACUGAUGGUUGGUGUUUAUUUAGUUUAGGCUUGUUUGCUGAUGGUUGGUGUUUAUUUAGUUUAGGCUUGUUGGCUGAUGGUUGGUGUUUAUUUAGUUUAGGCUUGUUUACUGAUGGUUGGUGUUUAUUUAGUUUAGGCUUGUUGGCUGAUGGUUGGUGUUUAUUUAGUUUAGGCUUGUUGGCUGAUGGUUGGUGUUUAUUAAUUUAGGCUUGUUUGCUGAUGGUUGGUGUUUAUUUAGUUUAGGCUUGUUUACUGAUGGUUGGUGUUUAUUUAGUUUAGGCUUGUUUACUGAUGGUUGGUGUUUAUUUAGUUUAGGCUUGUUUGCUGAUGGUUGGUGUUUAUUAAUUUAGGCUUGUUUACUGAUGGUUGGUGUUUAUUUAGUUUAGGCUUGUUUGCUGAUGGUUGGUGUUUAUUAAUUUAGGCUUGUUUACUGAUGGUUGGUGUUUAUUUAGUUUAGGCUUGUUUGCUGAUGGUUGGUGUUUAUUUAGGUCGAUUUUGUUUGCUGCUGUUUAAUAUUUAUUUAGUUUCUUUUUGUUUGCUGAUGGUUUUUUAACAUUUAUUUAGAUAUGUUUGUGGAUGUUUGGUGCUUAUUUACUUUGGUUUUGUUUGCUGUUGUUUGAAUUUUAGGUGUUUGUUUAGCUUUGUUUUAUUUGCUGAUUGUAUUUUUUUUUUUGAUUGAGUUUGGUGUAAAUUGUGGUUGGUGUUUAUUUAGGUUGGUUUUAUUAUUAUUUGCUGCCUUUAAUAUUCGUUUAGUUUGCAUUUAUUUGCUGAUGGUUGGUGUUUAUUUUGUUCGUUUUUUGGCUGCUGUUUGUGUACAGUAAUGUUAUUUGCUUUCAUUUUCUUUGCUUUUUUGUGUUUAUUAUUUUUGUUUGCCUCAGGGUUUAUGUAUAUUCAGUUUGGUUUUGUUUGUGUCAUUGUUAUUGUUUAUUUUGUUUGGUUUUGUUUGCUGCUAACCAAUAUUGAUUUAGUUAUGUUUGUUGGUGGUAUUUUAAUGUGAAUGUAGUUUUGUUUGCCUCAGGGUUGAUGUAUAUUCAGUUUUGUUUUGUUUGUGUCAUUGUUAGUGUUUAUUUAGUUUGCUUUUGUUUGUUGAUGGUAUUUUAAUGUUAACGUAGUUUUGUUUGCUGACUUAAUGUUUAUUUAGUGUGGCAUUGUUUUCUGUGUAAUAUUUAUUUAAUGUAGUUUUUUGUUGAUGGCACUUAUUUAUUUAUGGGGGGG
ensembl:lncRNA